CGUCUCGGGGCUUCUCCGCCGGCUUGGCGCGCAGGACGGCUUCGCCAGAGCCGGCGGGCAGCGGUGGGCGAGCCAGGCGGCGGUCCAUGGAGCCCACGUCGGCUGAAGCCACGGGGCGCUGGCUCCUGCUCUGAUGCCAGCUGACAGCGGCGAUGCAACGCAGCUCCCCGCGCGGAGGAAUGGAGCCGGGCCAGGCGUUGGGGCGCUGCAGCGGCUCUGAGAUGCGGCGACAGGCUUGGCUGCGGCGCGGGGCUGCCCGCGGAUUUCGGCUAGCUCGUUUGGAAUCGUGCACGCGCGGGGGUGGACGAAGCAACGAGCCGGAGAAAAAAUAAGGCGCGUUUCCCCCUAUAAUGGGACCGGGCAUCGGAGGCUAUCCCGUCUCCCUGCGCAGCGGGAGCCUGCAAAACCUGGUUCAUGAAACCCACGAAGGGAAAGGAAUGGUAACUUCCAGUGGAGGAAAGAACCACCCAAGCACGAAAGAACUAAAGAAAUCAACUUUUCUAAGGCCGUCUUCCAAAAGGCCAGGGAAAAAUACAUCUACUGUUACAGAAAAGGCUCCUUUUCAAGCUACAGACAGACAUGUAACUGUUCAAUACAAAGAGGAAAAACAAGUUUAUGAAGGUCAUCAACCAAACAG